rnacentral:lncRNA from 1 species
UCAAGGUGGAUGACAGUGGGAUAUACCCUUUGCUGAGCACCAGGGUAAACCCACACCAGGGCAGCCAUGAGGUGACUUCCAUGCCUCCAGCCUACUGCACAGAAGACAUCACCUCCUAGAAAACUGUAUUUCAGACUACACUGCAAAUUGCAGCAGGACCCCGCAGACCCUCUGCAGAUGUCCCAGCACUGCUGUCCCCUCCCAGGAGGGAAGCCCUGGUACCACCGAGAGCAUCACGCAGCCAAUGGCACGACACGCCCUCUGCUUCUCUGCUCAGCGUAACGAAUCCUGCCUCCCACUCAGAGCUGCUAAGAGAAGUUACUGAUGAGGAGAAAUUCAUCAAAUUGUAAUCCAGGGAGAACACGAGAGAGAGAGAGAGAGAAAGGCCAACAGCAGCACACACGUACCCUGCAAAAAUCCCAAAGUUGACAUUUACAUUUCAAACACUUAUAACGGCU